rnacentral:rRNA from 1 species
CGCUGGCGGCGUGCUUAACACAUGCAAGUGAACGGUGACGAGAGCUUGCUCCUCUGAUCAGUGGCGAACGGGUGAGUAACACGUGAGCAACCUGCCCCAGACUCUGGGAUAACAGUUGGAAACAGCUGCUAAUACCGGAUACGAGACGGAGAGGCAUCUCUACCGUCUGGAAAGUUUUUCGGUCUGGGAUGGACUCGCGGCCUAUCAGCUAGUUGGUGAGGUAAUGGCUCACCAAGGCGACGACGGGUAGCCGGCCUGAGAGGGCGACCGGCCACACUGGGACUGAGACACGGCCCAGACUCCUACGGGAGGCAGCAGUGGGGAAUAUUGCACAAUGGGCGAAAGCCUGAUGCAGCGACGCCGCGUGAGGGAUGACGGCCUUCGGGUUGUAAACCUCUUUCAGCAGGGAAGAAGCGAAAGUGACGGUACCUGCAGAAGAAGCACCGGCUAACUACGUG